rnacentral:rRNA from 2 species
GGUAACGGCUCACCAUGGCAAUGAUACGUAGCCGACCUGAGAGGGUAAUCGGCCACAUUGGGACUGAGACACGGCCCAAACUCCUACGGGAGGCAGCAGUAGGGAAUCUUCCACAAUGGACGAAAGUCUGAUGGAGCAACGCCGCGUGAGUGAAGAAGGGUUUCGGCUCGUAAAACUCUGUUGUUAAAGAAGAACAUAUCUGAGAGUAACUGUUCAGGUAUUGACGGUAUUUAACCAGAAAGCCACGGCUAACUACGUGCCAGCAGCCGCGGUAAUACGUAGGUGGCAAGCGUUGUCCGGAUUUAUUGGGCGUAAAGCGAGCGCAGGCGGUUUUUUAAGUCUGAUGUGAAAGCCUUCGGCUCAACCGAAGAAGUGCAUCGGAAACUGGGAAACUUGAGUGCAGAAGAGGACAGUGGAACUCCAUGUGUAGCGGUGAAAUGCGUAGAUAUAUGGAAGAACACCAGUGGCGAAGGCGGCUGUCUGGUCUGUAACUGACGCUGAGGCUCGAAAGUAUGGGUAGCAAACAGGAUUAGAUACCCUGGUAGUCCAUACCGUAAACGAUGAAUGCUAAGUGUUGGAGGGUUUCCGCCCUUCAGUGCUGCAGCUAACGCAUUAAGCAUUCCGCCUGGGGAGUACGGCCGCAAGGCUGAAACUCAAAGGAAUUGACGGGGGCCCGCACAAGCGGUGGAGCAUGUGGUUUAAUUCGAAGCUACGCGAAGAACCUUACCAGGUCUUGACAUACUAUGCAAAUCUAAGAGAUUAGACGUUCCCUUCGGGGACAUGGAUACAGGUGGUGCAUGGUUGUCGUCAGCUCGUGUCGUGAGAUGUUGGGUUAAGUCCCGCAACGAGCGCAACCCUUAUUAUCAGUUGCCAGCAUUAAGUUGGGCACUCUGGUGAGACUGCCGGUGACAAACCGGAGGAAGGUGGGGAUGACGUCAAAUCAUCAUGCCCCUUAUGACCUGGGCUACACACGUGCUACAAUGGAUGGUACAACGAGUUGCGAACUCGCGAGAGUAAGCUAAUCUCUUAAAGCCAUUCUCAGUUCGGAUUGUAGGCUGCAACUCGCCUACAUGAAGUCGGAAUCGCUAGUAAUCGCGGAUCAGCAUGCCGCGGUGAAUACGUUCCCGGGCCUUGUACACACCGCCCGUCACACCAUGAGAGUUUGUAACACCCAAAGUCGGUGGGGUAACCUUUUAGGAACCAGCCGCCUAAGGUGGGACAGAUGAUUAGGGUGAAGUCGUAACAAGGUAGCCGUAGGAGAACCUGCGGCUGGAUCACCUCCUUUCUAAGGAA